rnacentral:rRNA from 1 species
GUCGACGUCCACACCACCCUGAACACCCCGACCUCGGUAGCUAAGGAAGGUAAGCAGGGUCGGGUCUGGUUUGUACUUGGAUGGCAGAAGUUAGAUAGAACC